UACAGAGGUCUCAAGCGUUGUUCGGAUUCAUUGGGCAUAAAGGGUGCGUAGGUGGCGCUGUAAGUCGGGUGUGAAAUUUCGGAGCUUAACUCCGAAACUGCAUUCGAUACUGCGGUGCUUGAGGACUGGAGAGGAGACUGGAAUUCAUGGUGUAGCAGUGAAAUGCGUAGAGAUCAUGAGGAAGACCAGUGGCGAAGGCGGGUCUCUGGACAGUUCCUGACACUGAGGCACGAAGGCCAGGGGAGCAAACGGG
rnacentral:rRNA from 1 species